GUGGCUGUGGGGAGGGUGAAAAUGAAAAAUACUUUGUUAUUUCUAAUGGGAAAGGACCACAGGAAAAGGGAAAAGAGCACCUGGCAGAAUUCAGAGGUGAUAAUAAGGAGGAGAUGUGUGAUGGGGGGGCCUGGAAUGCUGCUACCUGAUGUCAAACACCUCACUAAUGUUAUUGACCUCACCACAGAAUCACAGAACCCCAGAAUGGUUUGGGAUAGAGGGGACAUUUAUAGACAAUCCAGUGCAACCCUUCCCAUAGCAGGGACACCUUCCACCAGAGCAGUCUGUCCAAAGCCCCGUUCAGUUGUGGCACCCACAGCUUCUCUGGGCAGCCUGUGCCCUUACCGCCACAUAGCAAAGUGUUUCAUCCUUACAUUCUAUCUAAAUCUACCUAAAUCAUCCUAUCUAAAUCACUAACGUGGGAAGAAACAAUGUCCAGAUGUUGGGGUAGAACAUCCUGAGAGGUGUGCUUGAAUCAUUUCCUGACUCCUGAAUGGAUUGGUUCUUCUGAUGAGCUGUGCCAUCAGCUUAGCCCAGAACAACAACUCUACAAUUAGAAAAGGAUCUUAGCUCAUUUCCCUGGGUUUUAUUAUUUUUCUUUACUGGCUUUUACAUGGCACAUCUUAGCUGUAAAUCUCAAUGUCAACAUUACUUUAGAUAAAGCACAACAGAGUGCCAGGCAGGCUCAGCAGGUAGAAAUAGAGAUUACCACGAAUGCGGAGACGAAAAUCAAUUGAGAUUGCACACAUCUUCCUGCCACCUUGCAGUUUGACCAAAACAUUUGCUUUCUUAGCUCUGCAAACCACCCCUGAGAGCACAGCUUUUGGCAGAGCACACCUACCUGCUGUUCAGAAAGCUCUGGUACAGCCACAUAUAGCAAAGGUCCUCACUGCUGUUUUCUUUCUCCUUCUCCCACACAUCUGUUUUGACCAGGCUUGGAUUGCUGCUUUAAAUAAGGAAUAGUAACAAUAAAGAAGGGUAACCGCCACAGCUGUGAAGCAGCACUGCUCUCUGGAAGGCAGGUUGACCCACCAGGAAGCUGCCCUGUGGUCUGUUAGCCUGCUGACCGACUCUUUGGUAUGUAGAAGACCACACUGCCUUCCCAUUCCCAAGGAAGAAGAGCUCUCACCUGCGCUUGCGGCCCAUGAGAUUUUGGAUAAACUUCUGCACCUGAGCGUUUCCUCUCAUCUUGCUGUAUUCACUGGUGAACAGUCCAUCCGAGUGCCUCUGAGUUCUGCAGCAGGAAAAAGACAACAGAAUGACUGCAACUCCCAGCCAUGCAACUUAUCUCAGCGCUCGGAAAUUUCUCCACUGUUUGGGAGACCCGUAUCCUUCCCCUUCUGCCUCCUCCCAUCUUCUACAUCCACUGGGUGAGGCCAGCACUGAGGCUGGCAUUGGAAUUGGAGGAAGCUCAGCCUUCUCAUUCAUUGCUGGGAUCCCAUCUCCUGCUCUCCCUGCACCAGUAUCAUCAGCUUAUCAAAAGGAUGUGGGGGUUUGAUGGUGUCUGGUUAACACUUACUGGGAACAGAAGUGUGGGACAAGAGAGUGGAGGAGGAAGAAAAAGAAUAUCCAGACACACAAACCCCGAGGACAAGGUGAGCCCUUCCCGACACCCAGGGCCUGGCCACAACGCUGCUAUCUACAGAGAGAGGAUCGGAGGCGUUUUCUCCACCCUCAAAUCUGAAAGAGAAAGGACCGUAAUUGGAAUAAGGGGAUUGACUGGUGGAUUUAGCCUCCCAUACACUCCUUUCUUGCACAGGAUGGUUUCAGGCGUGGUUUUAAUCUUUGCCACCUGACCUGCAGUUUUGGCUGUGAAGGAGAGGAGAGGGAUGUGGUGGGGGCAGCUGUCGGUGGUCUGGAGAAAUGGAGAGAGAAGGACCAUUAGUAAUGCAUAAAACAAAGGGGAAAGCCAUGUUCCCGCUCUGUUUUGAUGGCUUCCCUGUGCCUCUUGUGCAUGCAAAUGAUCUACAGCAAACCCUAAAGGACUCCCCCUGCGUGCAGGGAGUAUGCACCUUUCCGUGCCCAGUAGGAUAAGUAUCUGGGGUUCGUUCAAGUCCCAGCCUUGGAGAGGAAGAAGGAAGGAGAACCAUUCCUUGAGGCUACACGUCCCUCCGGAGCAGCAGGUGAUUUAGCAAGGAGCAAAUAACUCCAAGAAAAGAAGAUGCCAGGAUUUAGGGGUCCUCAGCAGAGAGAAGCAUCUCCCCCCAUCCUACCGUCCUCUGGGGGUGUGAGGGAUGUGCACGGCUCUGUCUGUCUAUCCACCUGUAUUGCACUCAGCUCCUAAGACGCCUUGGGGUUCCCUUGGAUUGCUUGUGCCUUCCUGCUUUGUUCUGGGCAGCAGAGUCCAGCAAGGCAAGGCAGGGAUGUGCUGUGCUUCAGUGUAUCAUAUGGCAUUCUUCUGGGUUGGCACCUGCUUAAAAACAAAGUUAAAUAUGGGGGAUGAGAGGAAAUCACUGGCAUAAGAUAUCACACUCCUGAAAGUGUGCCCAUUUGCUCUGAAGUCUGGAAGAUGCUGGACAUGCCAGUUAUCUCUGAAAUUGGCAGCGGUACCUGUGGGGAAGGACAGCAAAACCUUCGUGUUAGGAGAUUUGGGCUUUGCUAGAGCAGACCUCAGCCUUUUGGAUCAAAGCCGUAUCUGCUUUGAGCCAAGCCCUUGGGUGAAACCUGCCACAAAAUCCAGUUCUUUAGGAAUAAAGUAUUAGGUACUUGACACACGCUGGGAAAACAAAAUCCUUAGAACAUUUUGCUAAGAGCUGGGAGGAGGGGUGUGAUGGUGAUGGCACGUCUCACCUAGGAUGCUGGCAAAUGUACUGGUUUCCCAUGGGAUUGGGAUGAGAGAUGCUUUGGGAGCAAGCCAAGCCGUCCCUUAUCCAACUGCCUGGGGGAGGACAACGUGCAUUACUGCAUGGACAGGGCUGCUCAGGCUGUCCUUGGGCUCUUAGCCUGGCAUGGCUCUGCCCAACUGCCUUGUUCCCUAAGGCAGAGGAGCUCCAAGCACAGGCUCGUGGCAGCAGAGCUAUGCGCUAAUGCUCCCCAUGUGCCUGGCUUUGCCACAGCUCUAAUUGGCAUCAGCAUCUGUAAUCUCAGCCUCCAGCUGUUUGCUGCGUCUGGGGAAGAGGAGAAAGCACUUUGGGGAAUUAAUUUUAAUUAUAAAGAUAACAUGCUCCGUGACCCAGCUGGCAGGCGGCCCUGCCCAGCUGUUCCAGGUGUGUGGUGCCAGCCAUGAGCAAGGCAGCUCCCAACACCUGGACAUCAUUUUGGCUGCAUCCCUCUCCGUGUCAGAGACCUGACAGGGUUUGUGAGGUGAGGAGGUUCCUUCCGAGGCUCUUGCUGUGCCUUUCCAUACCUGUUUGAUACCGUGCACGUCUCCCCCCCAGGAGCUUUUCCUUAAUGAAUAGUCCCAGUAAGCUCACUGAUGUUUCAAGAGCAGGGGGGGCUCUCGAGGUACACUAAUUUGAUCUGUCCCAUGACACAAGCCCUUGUAUUUCAGGAGGUUACCCUUGCAUGAGAUCAAUUAUGUGGCUUAGUCUGAAGCCAGGCACCCACAAAAACAUCUAGGUAUGAUUAUAAGCUAAAAGAGACAGUAAAUCUGCCUGUUUUCUCUGUAGCUUCUUUCCCACGGCUCAUCACCAUUAAAAAUGCAUGAGAUUCUACAUCUUACAUGGAUUUACAUCCCUGCAGCUUCUUGGAGGGGGGACUUGGAGAGCCUGGAAGCCCGGAGAGCCCUGCUGCCUUCUUCCCUCCCUGGCAAAGAUUAACCCCAAAGGCAGGACGCUGCCUCUGUCUCUUUUCUUGGAAGUGCAUUACAGGCAGAUUGUGAGGCAGGGCGGCUUUGCUGGGGAUAGUGCUUUCAUAGAGAAUCACUCUGCUAAAAAUGUCAAAUAAAAGGAACAGGAUUGGCCGUAAAAGCUCUUUAUUUUCCUCCCUUUGUUCUGAACCCGAAGGCAGCCUCAGUGAUGUGUUGCCCAGCUAUCAGGGUGCUAUUCAACAGCUGACUUCAGGCACAUCUGUGCUGAAAUUUUGGCAGGUAAUUUUGUUCUCCUUUUCUAUGUCAAAAUUCAGCUCCUCAGGCAUGAACAACCACAGUGAUCAAAGUUCUGAGUGCCUUGGGACACCGAGAGGUGUCUCACAUGCAACCUCCCUGGUCCAUUGAACUCAUUAACAAACCAGACUCUCCAUAACCUGAGCCUGGGGAGACUUUGGGGUUCUCCUUCUGCCUCCUUGGCUGCCUGUUGGGGUUGAGCUCGGAGCUGGCUGCUGGGCAGUGAUGGUGGCAUUGCACUCUCUAGCAAAGUCCUUGCAUGCCACGGGCUGUGGUUGCACAGAAGGAAAGGAAGAGGUCCUGGAAAAUACUGAGCACGAGAACCUCGCUGCAGACUAGAUGUGAACUUGUACAGAGGGUCUCUCUAUUCCUGGUGCAGGGAAAGGGAAAGAGCAGAUGGUUCUCUGAUGGACUGGUCUUAUGUGAAGCUGGGGUGGUCCUGCUGGCAGAAAGUGCUGCUGUUCACCCCUCGUGUCCUUCACAGCGCCUGCUUGGUACAGAAUAAAGUAUUCUUUAUGUCAAGAGAAGCAGCUGCAGGUGAUUUCACAACCUCUCCAACCCUUGGACUGAGCCCAAAGGAUGUGCCUGGUGAACAAGGACACUCUGCAGGCUGCAUACCCAGGCAAAAAAAAAAGCAUUGUUCAAAACCACCGAUCGCAUCAGAAACUCUUCAAAGGUGCUCUUAAAUAUUCACCAUCCGUCACUCAAACAUCCCAACCCUGGCAGGGAUGCCUGAUAAUGCUUCUUGCUUUCUGCGAGGGUGACACACGGCUCUGCCAUUUGCCAUACUUUUUAUUUUUGCAGUGACAUGAGACGACUUCUUUGGAUGCGUUGACAUGUUACUCCAUCUCUUCUGCUACGAGCACAGUUCCUCUUAUCCAAGCAAUGGACUGUGCCUAUUGCUCCGAUCUACUAGCAGGGAAGAGAAAGCUUUCUGGGGACACCCACAGCAAAGCCACCAAAACAUUCUGGCCCACGAUUGCUUACAUGGAGCUGGGGAUGUGGUUUACAACCGCUGUAUUUGCUAAGGGCACGCUACAGACAGCACACACAGAGGAACCAUUGGACUUAGAAGCAGUGGGCAAGCAUUGCUGUAACCUGGGAGUUUGCAGUGGAAGAGCUGCCCUCAUUUUUUUUCACACAGAGGGUGGUGACGCACUGAACAGGUUGCCCAAGGAGGCUGUGGAUGCCCCAUCCCUGGAGGCAUUCAAGGCCAG